rnacentral:misc_RNA from 1 species
CUGAGUGGCAAUAAUCUAAAUUAAUUUCUUCUUCUUGUUUCUUUUGGGUUUUUUUUAUGGUUUAAUUUAAUAAUUAGAGGCAUGAAUUGAAACUCAGUUAUGGGAUGGAUUGUUUUCCCCCAAGUCCUUGUUAUGAGAAAGAAAAGAAAAGAAAAAAAAAGUAUUUUUAAUUUUUCAUAGAUGAAUCUCAAGAUGGAUGUAAUUUAUUUUGUUUGUGAC